rnacentral:rRNA from 1 species
AGUCACUGACAUUAGAUACCCCCGUAGUCCCAGCCGUAAACUAUGCGCGUUAGGUGUAUCGGUGACCACGAGUCACCGAGGUGCCGAAGGGAAACCGUGAAACGUGCCUCCUGGGAAGUACGGUCGCAAGGCUGAAACUUAAAGGAAUUGGCGGGGGAGCACAACAACGGGUGGAGCCUGCGGUUUAAUUGGACUCAACGCCGGACAACUCACCGGGAACGACAGCAAUAUGUAGGCCAGGCUGAAGACCUUGCCUGAAUCGCUG